AGCGAACGCUGGCGGCAGGCCUAACACAUGCAAGUCGAACGAAGCCUUCGGGCUUAGUGGCGGACGGGUGAGUAACACGUGGGAACGUACCUCUUGGUUCGGAACAACUCAGGGAAACUUGAGCUAAUACCGGAUGAGCCCUUAGGGGGAAAGAGUUAUCGCCGAAAGAGCGGCCCGCGUUAGAUUAGCCAGUUGGUGAGGUAAAGGCUCACCAAGGCUACGAUCUAUAGCUGGUCUGAGAGGAUGAUCAGCCACACUGGGACUGAGACACGGCCCAGACUCCUACGGGAGGCAGCAGUGGGGAAUCUUGCGCAAUGGGCGAAAGCCUGACGCAGCCAUGCCGCGUGAAUGAUGAAGGUCUUAGGAUUGUAAAAUUCUUUUACCAGGGACGAUAAUGACGGUACCUGGAGAAAAAGCCCCGGCUAACUUCGUGCCAGCCGCCGCAGUAAUAC
rnacentral:rRNA from 1 species